UUGACCUGGUGGAAAUGGUAUGGCAGUGACUCCUAGACAUAGGCCAAAACCUGCUAAAAACUUCAAUAAGAGAAUGAGUAAUAUCUUGAGUUGAGCCAUGGAGAGUUUGUCUUUGCCCUUAGCGCUUGACUUUGUUUUUGAGCUGAGUUCGACUGAAAGUACCACAAAUUCCAUUCAACUCCAUACUUUGACAAAGUUUAAUUUAGCCAGUCUUUCUGCAAAUACAGAUGAGAAAUUCAGUUCCAGAGAUCAACUAAUACAGGAGAGUGAGGAGGCCCAGCCAGCACUCUUCCCAGCGGGCCAGUGCCACACACUUCUGUGGAACAUUAGCACCGUGAAUGGUGAGGGGUGCUGCUUAGAGAUGAAAAGUGACAGCUUCCAACUGGCUGUAAUGGAAAUCCCAUUUUGUGGAGUCUUUCUAAAUGAGAUGAUUUUCCUCUUGGGGGAGGGAAGAGUAAGAGGUCAAAGAAGGCAGAGGCAGGUGUCUGGAACUUCCAAAGAUGGGAGACUACAGUUUUCCUCACAAGUUGAAAAUGAUAGAGCCCUCAGGUGUAUGCAUUUCACUAAUAAUUUAUACGUUCCAGUUCUUUGAGAGUUGGUGGAGACAGAAUACACAGCACAUUCAGAGUCACAAUUAAGUACUUAACAAUGAGGCAAAAUUCUGAAGUGAAAACAGGAUUUUCAAAUAUAUGUUCAUCAACCCAAUGAAAAAUCAAUGACAUUCCAUAUUCCUUAAGCCAAGUCUGUACAUACUUAUGAGGUUUGUAAUACAGGGAAAAGAGUGACAAGCUGAAGAAUUACCUAGAUAACUUGUUUCUGGGAGAGUUUGCUUAGAUAAUGCUAACUAAUAUUUUCCCUCUCCCCUUACCCCCACCCCACCCAAGGUUUCCUCGAGCAUAUCUUUGUAUCUGCAUUAUCUAUAUACAACUAUAUUCACCUUCCAUUUCACUUUGUAUAGGCAGAGUAUGACCUUGGCUGCAUAUAUGCAUAUUAAAUACAGUAGAUGUUCAAGAGAAUUAGAUGGAUGAAGUACAGGGAUCCAAAGUCUGUUUUCCUCUACUCUGCAGCUCCAGCCAAAGAAAGUAAACCAUUAAUAAUCACCAAGUAAAUUAAUGAGGAUACAUUAAGUCUAAAAUCCUUUUCUUUCAGGCUUUUGAAGUGUUUGGAUACUCAUCUAGACCUGACUGCUUCCCCUGUGGCUCAGCUGCCUGGUGUCUGGUUUGGAUCUGGUCAGAUGAACCGUGUCUCCUGGCUAGCUGACAACCCACAGGAGCCAAGAAAUCUUAAAGAAGAUGUCUGGUUUGAGAAGGAGAGCUUGCCAUGCAUCAAAAUAUCCCUGGAUUUUAACCACGAUGGCACUUUCUGGAAAACAUCAGAGCAGAUGAGCAAAAAUAUUUGCUGUUAAAUUCAAAGUGCUCAAACAAAGCAAAUCAGCUGUGCUGCAGAGCCCCUGAAGACACACUUUACAAAGAAGAAAGAGAUCUAAAAAGAUAUAACAGCUGUUAUUGAUGUUUUACAAGAGGAACAAACAACCUGGAUGUGGGUGUCAAGAGUCCCUUGAAGAGUGUGGACAAGACCAGAUAGCUGUAGCCAUCAGUUUCACUCUCACCUGGAAUGUUUCACCAAGUGCUCUACAUGUAUUAGGGCUCAGUCGCCACAACAACUUUCUAGAAUGAGUUCAUUAUACCUCCAUUUUACAGAUGAGGAAACUGAGCCUCAGCAUGUCAAAGCAAGUGGUAAAGUGGAAGGUGAGCACCAAUCUGUGAGAGCUGAAAGCCCAUAACUUAACCCAAAAAGACUUUGUGUCCUCUCACUACACACCUGGUUUUUUCCUGGCUGCCUCUCCUAAAACAAGGAUGUAAAAAUGCCUUUUACAUCUCUGGCCUACUCUCUACUUUGCAGGUUAACUUCUUUUUCUUCAAAUAACCCAUGUUACCAUUUCCCUUAUACCCAUUUCCUCAUAACUUCUGGCUUCUGCUUUACCUACAUUCACAUUAGUCCCUCAGAGAUUAACGCCCUUCCUACCUCCUAGCCUGUACCUUUCCCCCCUUCCGUCUUUGUUCAUUUGAUUUCACUCCAAUGGCUUUGGACGCAUUUGGCUACUUCUCCUCCUUGUAUCUGUUUGCCCAUGGCUGUUUUGAUAGGCUUUUCCUUUUCUCCCACUGCUCCUCUGUAAUAAAUUCCUCUGUUCCUGUUCCUAGCUCCCUGAGCAUUUCCCAGCCUAAGAGCUUAGCCCUUGGCUUCAUACUCCUUUUGAGAACACAUUUCUUUUCCUGACUUUAGCUCUUACUGCUGUGUGGGUACCCACCCUCAGUUCCCUUCUUGGCCCUGUCCUCUUUCUUUACCCCCAUAUCUGAAGCAUCAAGUGCCUAGUGAACAUCAACACUUAGAUGGCUCACCAUCACUUCACACGUAUGGCUAAAACCAAAUCCACUAACUUCCUCCUAAACUUCUCCUCCCACCCCAACUUUCUCAUAUAUCAUUUUCCUAGUCAUUCUCAAAAUCUUUACUUACCCCUUACCCUUACUUUCCUACCCCCUAGGAAUAUUUGCUCCCUAUCCCAGUCUAAACACAUUAUCACAAGGUUCUAAAGAUAUUCCCUAAAAAUGUCUUAUCUCUAACACAAGAUUUCCCUUUACCUUUGGACCCAUAUCUUAAUUUUUGAAAUGGACCUUAACCCUACCCUCUGCUCCAUUAAUGAUCAAAGUGUAUUCUCAGUGGUCAGUUGAAGGCAAAUUAAUGUCUUCCUUGUAGACUUUUGCAAAAAAAAUUACCUUCAAAUCUGAUAUCCAGUGGUUUUCAAAAGCCUCUGUUGGGAAAAAUCUCCCCAAAUUGAAGUUUUUUGGUGGACCCUUCAUUCCACUCUUGGCAUUCCCAAGAUCUGAUGACUUUAAGGGCUACACGGAUGACACGGUUGUGGAGAUGGGUAGAUGUUAUAGAGCCCAGGACUCCUCUCAGAUUUUCAGAUGUGAUGCCAAACAGAACAUCUCUCCAUGGGUCCAAUCCAGACUCCAGCCUGUCUGCAGCCUUUGCUGAGUAUCAAGCGCCACAACCUUUGAGGAGUUGCAUACUUGGACCUGGUGUGGAAAUUCCUUCUGCAGAUGCCUUUGCCUAGUCGUGCUGUGGUGCCAGGCCUUUAACUAUGAGUGACUUUAUAAGGUCAGUCACACAGAACUCAUCGUUUCAUCUAAAGGGAUGUUGAGGACUACAGUUAAAAUCAUUUAUAUUUAUCCUUCUGAAUUGGAUGUGUAUGUUUCCUCAAAUCCUUUACUGAAUAAAAUGAGGUCUUCAUUCUUAAGGGUUGUCUCCCUAUUUUCACUCCUGGAAGAUGAGGUCCCCCAAGGCUGAGGAUCUGGAUCUACAUCCUUUACAACUAUGUCCCACAGGGGGAACUGUGUCCAGGCCUUUGCAUAUGCUCAGUACAAAUCUGUCCCCUGUGUUUGAAUCAUUUCCACCUCUACGCAGAUUUUUAUUCUCCAUUGUCACCUGACGUCCUGCUUUUCAGAUUGUCCCUGCACACUGUUCAUCCUGCACACUGCUGCCAGAUUGUUUUCCAACUCAGUUUUCAUUACAUCCCGUUAAAAACCUUUUUUGCUUCCAGUUAACUACAAGGCUUCCAGAAUUAUCCUUAGUCAGCCAUAUUUCUUGGCUCUCUCUACCCACACUCUGACGCCUCACUGAACCACAGAUAACCUACCUCAUGUCUCCCCCAUGUCACCCCAGUUCAACUGGUUCUGCCCUGCCAGCUUCCCAGGAGAGGUCUGUGUCUUCCUCUCCUUCCUUGAGCCUUCUCUCUCCUAGUAGAAACACCCCUCCUCCUUUUCCUUUGAUGUGGGUCCUGAGAGACUCUUGAGUCAUUGUAUAACUCAGAGUUGUGGAGGCUUUCGUUAAACAUUAAGGGCCCUGUCUGAACAAGGUGCUACAUCAGACACAGGAGGUAUGUGGAAAGUUUUCUGAGGAAGGUGCUGUAAACUAGGACAUCAUGUGAGGACUACAAGUCUGUAAGAUGGGAGGAAAAACUGCCCAUGAACUUCUAUAUUGAGAAAACACAGAGUAUCAGAUCUGGGAUGGCAGGCGGGGUUGUGGGGAGGAAGCAAAACUCCAAGAUCUUACAAUAGCACAGUUCUCUUUGAAAGCUGAGCCAACCACAUGAGAUCCAGAGAAGCAAGGUCACUUGUCAAUGGUCACUUAAAAGUGGGAAAAGUUUUCCGUGUGCACAUUCUGUUAUCUGAUUUCCACGUUCUAGCAUUGGGGUCAUGACACUGGUGAGUCAGUCAUUUUUCCUAGCAGGCAUCCAAGUGAGUCCCUGGGAAUUUCUUAUUCUGGAGGAGAGAUAAUAGAAACCAACAAGGGAGAUCUGGUGGGAUAAAGAUUGUGUGGUUGGCCUGGACUCCCCUUUAGGGCACCACAGGGAGACCUCAGCCACAAGCUUUCCUUACACAUAGGAAAGACAGUUGAUGGUGCCUGAAAGGCACGUUUCCCUCUCUACUAAAUACCAAAAUCCACAUUUCACAUGAGCACACAGACCCAAAGCUCUUGGGCAUCAGGCAGGCCUGGGGCUUUCCUACUCAUCUUUGAGGUCCCGUGACUCCAAAGCAUGCUUGUGAAACUGCUCCUUUCUCCAUAGCUGCGUACUGACUGCCCCUUUGCCUCAGCUUUCCCCUUCACCCAUCUGAGGCUGCCCCAGUGUCCUUCAGAUACCCAAUCCAUUGUCUUCCCAGUAGGCUGCAUCUGAUAUCCUGCCCCAGGUGACUUUGUUUUAAAGUAUUAGCAUUGACCACCUGAAGAGCCUUCUAGAUGAUGGCCUUUUCAGGCCAUGAGACAAGUUGGGUUGGGGAUGGUGGGUGGGGUUUGAUGUCGAGAGACUGGAGACCCAUGGCAUCCUCAGAGCCUUUUGUAAGGAGCCACUUGACAUCCAAACCAUACUUUUUUCUUACCAGCAGGCUGAACCUGUCUCAUGGAGAGGCAGAACAGGCCAGGCUGGGCAUCAUUCCCAUAGCAGUUCAAGAGGUUUCCUACCACUUCACUAACUCAAUUUUAAAAGAUCUAACAUGUUAUCUUCAGAAGGAAAUGGCAACCCACUCCAGGAUUCUUUCCUG